rnacentral:rRNA from 1 species
UACGGGGGGGGCAAGCGUUGUUCGGAAUUACUGGGCGUAAAGGGCUCGUAGGCGGCCAACUAAGUCAGACGUGAAAUCCCUCGGCUUAACCGGGGAACUGCGUCUGAUACUGGAUGGCUUGAGUUUGGGAGAGGGAUGCGGAAUUCCAGGUGUAGCGGUGAAAUGCGUAGAUAUCUGGAGGAACACCGGUGGCGAAGGCGGCAUCCUGGACCAACACUGACGCUGAGGAGCGAAAGCCAGGGAGCAAACGGGG